rnacentral:lncRNA from 1 species
AAGGUUCCAAUGUUAUUGUUCAUUCAUCAUUAGCUAGUGAAUACUUUCAUGACAAGAACAAGCUAUAGUAUUUGAGGUCAAGGCAUUGUGUAUGCCAUAAGGUUGUUUCAUAGCACUUUAAUGAGUUUUGCAUAAGACAAUGGAUAAAAACACAUGUUACCACCGAGUUUUCAUUGAGUUUCUGGGGUAAAUUUGGUGCAAACGUAGCUUAACUAGUUGGUAAGUGUUCAUUUAUAGAAAU